CACACACACACACACUCACACGCCUCUAAAGAAUAUGAGAAAAAGAACGAAGUGGCGGCACUACCUCUAAAUCCGGAGAACUGGGUAGCAUCUUCCAGCUCACACCGUUGCCGCGGAGGAGAACAGGCCGGGCGCCCCGCCGACGUUCGCGGGCCUCGGGCCGACCUCUCCUGCUGCGGGUCACCUUCCUCUUGGACAUCACCGGACGGGGCGAGCGGCCGCCCAGAGCCGUGACUUCCGGCGGCGACAGACCCAAAGCUGAGCACCCCCUUCUGGGAACCCGCCUAACAGGGCUGGGGGGCAAAGACGCUCCUCAGGCUGGGCAGACGGGGCGCCCAGAGCCGCGACGCAGAGGCCCCUCGGCCGCCCGGCCCGCAGGCUGGCUGGGCCUGCGCAGGCGCGUGGCUCCUCUCCCAGCAGCCCCCGCGGGGGUCACGCCGGGUCGACGACCCCGACGCGCCGCUAAAGGGGGAGCCCGCGGCGGAGAAGGCGGUGGUGGAGGAGGAGCAGCGAGUGGGGCUCGGCUGCUCUUGGACGUGCUGCUCCUCAACUCGGAUGAGACGCUGGCCGAGGGCAUGUUCCGUGGUUCCUUCCGAAGACCAGCGCCCUCCGCCAGCCGCCUGAGAAGGGCCCGCAGCCCGACGCUGAGGCCGCCCGAGCUUUACUUCAGGAAAAGCAGGCUAUGA
rnacentral:lncRNA from 9 species